UACGUAGGGGGCAAGCGUUGUCCGGAAUCAUUGGGCGUAAAGCGCGUGUAGGCGGUUCGAUAAGUCUGCUGUGAAAGUCCAGGGCUCAACCCUGGGAUGCCGGUGGAUACUGUCGGACUAGAGUACGGAAGAGGCGAGUGGAAUUCCCGGUGUAGCGGUGAAAUGCGCAGAUAUCAGGAAGAACACCCGUGGCGAAGGCGGCUCUCUGGGACGGUACUGACGCUGAGACGCGAAAGCGUGGGGAGCGAACAGG
rnacentral:rRNA from 1 species